AUACACAAUUCUUGUGAAUUGUGAUACAUGAGAAAACGAGUUAUGUUAUACAAUAAGUAUAGAUUGUGAUCAUAUUUAAAGUUCAGAAAAAUCAUUCAAAAUGACUUGUGACUGGAGAUUCAAAAUGACGCAUGUGGAAUACCAAAUAUGCCUUUAAUACGAAGUGUUGUUGCUACAUCUUGAUAGUUAUCAUGCGAUUUGUUGAAGUGUGCUCAUGGAAUAGGAAGAUUUUCAUUAAAGACUUAACAUGUUGCACCAUACCUCAUCAAUCACCUAGACUUGACCAACAAAUUAUUGAUCAAGCUAUCACAAAUCAUCAUUAAGAUGCAUCAUUGCGCACUCAUAGUUUUUGUGACUGGAAUUCUUUUUUUGAUUUUCUUCUUCGUAAUUCUUCCAAAAAUUGACUCCUAUAACCCACCACCUAUCGAGUUCAACAUAACUGAAGCUUCAAUCAUACAAUUCAACCUCACAAGCAACAAUACCUUAUAUUAUAAUUUUAAGCUCAACAUUACAGCAAGAAACUCCAAUAACAAUAGUGUAACAUAUUAUGAUACAACCACUGCAAUUUCUUCCUAUAAAAAUAAUAACUUUGCUUGGGCUUCUUUGGCACCUUUUGUCGUAGGUAGUAUGAAUACCAUUUUGCUUGAGCCUUUAGUGUUUGAAGGGAAUAGUGAGAUGAAGCUUGAGCCUCAACAACUUGUUGAGUAUAAUAAUGAGACACGUUUGAGGAUUUAUAAUAUAGAUUUGGAACUUGAUACUUUUCCACCAAGUGUGUAUUGUCCUAAUUUGAGAGUUCCUUUAAUUUUCAAUGCAAAUACUUUCAAUGUAACCACAUGCUCAUAAAUGCAAUUAUGCAAGUGAUUUAACUACAAUUUGAUUGAUAUUUUUUGUAGUUGAAAGGUUGGAUUUGUUAAGAUGAGACAAUUUUAUUUAUUUGGUUUGAAAC